rnacentral:rRNA from 1 species
AAUAGCAUUACUAUACCUUCCCUAUUCAUUGCGGGUUGGUUAUUUGUCAGUACGGGUUUAGCUUAUGACGUGUUUGGAAGUCCUAGGCCAAACGAGUAUUUCACGGAAAGCCGACAAGGAAUUCCGUUAAUAACCGACCGUUUUGAUUCUUUAGAACAACUCGAUGAAUUUAGUAGAUCCUUUUAG